rnacentral:rRNA from 1 species
GGCUUAACACAUGCAAGUCGAGGGGCAGCAUUGGGAUAGCUUGCUAUUCCAGAUGGCGACCGGCGCACGGGUGAGUAACGCGUAUCCAACCUUCCCCUUAGUAGAGGAUAGCCCGGCGAAAGUCGGAUUAAUACUCUAUGUUGUGUUUUGAGGACAUCUGACGAACACCAAAGGUUCACCGCUAAGGGAUGGGGAUGCGUCUGAUUAGCUUGUUGGCGGGGUAACGGCCCACCAAGGCUACGAUCAGUAGGGGUUCUGAGAGGAAGGUCCCCCACAUUGGAACUGAGACACGGUCCAAACUCCUACGGGAGGCAGCAGUGAGGAAUAUUGGUCAAUGGCCGAGAGGCUGAACCAGCCAAGUAGCGUGCAGGAUGACGGCCCUAUGGGUUGUAAACUGCUUUUAUGCGGGGAUAAAGUGCGCCACGUGUGGCGUUUUGUAGGUACCGCAUGAAUAAGGACCGGCUAAUUCCGUGCCAGCAGCCGCGGUAAUACGGAAGGUCCGGGCGUUAUCCGGAUUUAUUGGGUUUAAAGGGAGCGCAGGCGGAAGCUUAAGCGUGACGUGAAAUGUAGGUGCUCAACAUCUGCACUGCGUCGCGAACUGGGUUUCUUGAGUGAGUACGACGUGGACGGAAUUCGUGGUGUAGCGGUGAAAUGCUUAGAUAUCACGAAGAACCCCGAUUGCGAAGGCAGUCCACGAGUCCUUUACUGACGCUAAAGCUCGAAAGUGCGGGUAUCGAACAGGAUUAGAUACCCUGGUAGUCCGCACGGUAAACGAUGGAUGCCCGCUGUUUGCGAUAUAUUGUAAGCGGCCAAGCGAAAGCGUUAAGCAUCCCACCUGGGGAGUACGCCGGCAACGGUGAAACUCAAAGGAAUUGACGGGGGCCCGCACAAGCGGAGGAACAUGUGGUUUAAUUCGAUGAUACGCGAGGAACCUUACCCGGGCUUGAACUGCAGCAGAGGAUACAGAGAUGUUGACGCCCUUCGGGCUGCUGUGGAGGUGCUGCAUGGUUGUCGUCAGCUCGUGCCGUGAGGUGUCGCUUAGUGCCAUAACGAGCGCACCCCUUUCGUCAGUUGCAUCAGUGAUGCUGGGCACUCUGGCGACACUGCACCGUAAGUUAGAAAAGUGAUGACGUCAAUCAGCCGCUACGUCGGCUACACGUGUCAAUGUGAUCGAAGCAGGGCCGCACCUGCUGAUCAUGAAGUAUCUCAGUCGAAUGGGUUGACGCACAUGACGAUCGGUAGCUACACAUGCGGUAUACGCGUGUUAACCUGCACCUACCUACCUGGCUGA